GUGGAGAUGUCAGUCUGUCCACGUGGAGA
rnacentral:piRNA from 1 species